UACAAGAUAAAGCAGAGAAAAGCAAAGAAACGGCGAAGACGCCCAGGUCGCUAGGAUCCAAGUUGUCCUAAACCUAGCCCUAUGUCUGGCAGGAUGAGCAGUCAGUCCCAGGGUUGUAAACAGCUGUCAGGGGACGUGGAGUCUUGUGCCUCUCUCAUCCUAGUUCCUUGCCUCACCGUGCAAAAGUAUUUCAGGUACUUUUCCCUUUCUCUCUCUAAGUGUUGAUCAUCUCUAAUUUUUCCCCUUGCUCCGUUCUCUAGCUGCAAAUUGGCAAAGCCCUCCUCAGCCUUUGCUCUACCUCAGCAAA